CGGAUGACCUGUGGCUGGGGGUGAAAGGCCAAUCAAACCGGGAGAUAGCUGGUUCUCCCCGAAAGCUAUUUAGGUAGCGCCUCGUGAACUCAUCUCCGGGGGUAGAGCACUGUUUCGGCUAGGGGGCCAUCCCGGCUUACCAACCCGAUGCAAACUGCGAAUACCGGAGAAUGUUAUCACGGGAGACACACGGCGGGUGCUAACGUCCGUCGUGAAGAGGGAAACAACCCAGACCGCCAGCUAAGGUCCCAAAGUCAUGGUUAAGUGGGAAACGAUGUGGGAAGGCCCAGACAGCCAGGAUGUUGGCUUAGAAGCAGCCAUCAUUUAAAGAAAGCGUAAUAGCUCACUGGUCGAGUCGGCCUGCGCGGAAGAUGUAACGGGGCUAAACCAUGCACCGAAGCUGCGGCAGCGAC
rnacentral:rRNA from 1 species